GGGGAUUUAGCUCAGUGGUAGAGCGCUUGCCUAGCAAGCACAAGGCCCUGGGUUCAGUCCCCC
rnacentral:tRNA from 1 species